UUCUUUUCCUUCUUCCUUUCUUUAUUUUGUGUUAAAGAUUUGGUAUCCAAUUGCAUACCAAGUGGUGAAAGCAUUAAGGAAUAAUUACAUCUUUUUCUAACUUUAAUCUUGAAUGAAUACACUGUAUGUUUGUUGCUGCUUGAGGGAGAGAUUUAUAACUAAGUUCCACUUUUAACAACAAAAGUAUGCUAGAUUGAAUGGCUAUACCAUUGGUUGAUUAGGGAAGAGGCUACAGGAGUAGAAUACAACUCAACUCAACUCAAUUAAG
rnacentral:misc_RNA from 1 species